GCGCCCGUAGCUCAGCUGGAUAGAGCGUUGCCCUCCGGAGGCAGAGGUCUCAGGUUCGAAUCCUGUCGGGCGCACCA
rnacentral:tRNA from 1 species